CCACUGGUAGCUCAGUCUGGUAGAGCACCCUUUUUAGAAAGGUUUGUCGCAGGUUCGACUCCUGCCCAUUCGG
rnacentral:tRNA from 1 species